AUAAAACAUAAAAACCACUCAAUUAUCAGGUCUUUGCCCUAAAUAAAAAAAAACCUCUCAAAUUCUCAUAAGAAUAUUGUUUGACCCCAUUCUGAAAUUUCUCAUAGGCUCACAAAUCAACAGGGAUAGAACGAAAUGCUUCACUUAAGCAACUGAUGUCUUAAAGUUGCAUCCCAUUGAAAGGAUUUUGUUGGAGUAGAGUUUAUCAGAUAGAGUUUUCUUUUCCUAUAUGAAAAUCAGACCAAUCGAGGGUUUGUUUAUGUGCAACUUCUGGACGAAUUCCACAUUCUAAAGGGUUUCUAGUUUAUAUGGUAAAUCGAAAAACUUUUGCAUCCCAGUUCUAAAGGGUUUAAAAGGUAUCCAAAUUGACAAUUUUUUGUGUCCAAAAAGGCUUCUACGUUAUCAUGU